CCCCACUCUACUCAUUUAAAAGGGAGUAGGCUUUCUAAAUUCAUUAGCUCAGCUGAUCUUUUCACUUCACCGCCUCCUUCACCAUGCUUAGCUUUCUCAACCUAUGAUUUGUUAUUCUUCAGGUCUGGGUGAUCAAUACCCUUCCUUUGCUUCUUAUUUUAGAUGCUUUCAGCUUGCAUGAGUAACUAUAGCUGAGAUGGAGAUAAUGGGAAGCUCGAACUUGUUAAUAGUUGAAGAGGAAUAAGAAAUUUAGCUUUUGGCAUUCGAUCUGACUUGGUGACCCCUGAUCUACUGAGAUUCCCUUUUUGUUGGUUGGUGUAAAUAGGUUCAGGUGCUCAGUCUCAGCAGCGAAAGUGAUCUUCGAUUACCUCCAUCUAUAUUCAUACAGUUGGUUCAGCUGCUCAGUCUUAGUAGCAACAGUGAUCUUCAAGUACCUCCAUCUACAUUCAUACAAUUGGUGAGUCCUCAUGGUUUGAGGUCCUAUGUUCCUGAUUUUUGUCUUGAUAGUAGAUGGUGGUUUAUUUCCAUUUCAGUACGAGUCUGUUGGGGAUCUUUCCCAAUGGAUCCUCAAUCUUAUAUAGUAGAGGCUUUGUCAGACUAGAGUACCAGUAUGUACAGAACUUUGGUAUUUUGACCGUACAGGAUAGUAUUUCUUCAUAUUUUAGUAUGUUCAUGACAUGAUUAUUCUUCCUUAUUACAGCUUGAUUAUUGUCAUACUGAGUUAUAGAAGUAAUGACAGGCUCAGAGGGUUAGCUUGAGGCUGUGUGUCACCUUAAGCACCUGUGACAUCUUGGGAUGGAAUCUUGGGGCGUUACAUUGACACACCAUGCACUUGGCUACAAAAUCAUCCACGUUCUUUUUCAUACCAUUCCACCAAUAUAUCUCUUUGAUAUUCAUGAUACAUCUUUGUAGAAUCAGGAUGAACAACAUAGUUUAAUUCAUGCACCUCAACCUCCCUUGGUAUCGCAAAAAACAAUCACCAGUGAUUUUGAAUGCCAUUACCUUUUUCCUGCCUAUAUCACUCUUGAUUUUCAUCAAGAUAGGAACUAGAACUUACUUCUCCUUAAUCUCUACACUGAGAGACGAUCUAACCAUUUCCUGUACUAAUAUACCACCUUCCUCAGAGUCCAAUAGACGAACUCUAAGAUUAGGAAAGUGGUGAAUAUCCUUCACUAAUUCUCGUUUCUCCUUAAUGAGCUAAAAUACGUAUGGAUAACCUGCUAAGAGCAUCAGUAAUAACAUUAGCCCUACCUGGAUGAUAGUGAAGACUCAUAUCAUAGUCCUUGAGAAGCUUCAACCAUCUUCUCUGCCUGAGAUUUAGCUCCUUUUGAGGGAACACAUACUUCAGGCUGGUAUGGUCAAAAAGGAUAUCUGUGUGCACUCCAUACAAAUAAUGUUGUCAUAUUUUCAUAGCAAAAACCACUGCCAAUAGCUCCAAAUCAUGAGUAGGAUAAUUCCUCUCAUGCACAUUUAUUUGCCUGGAAGCAUAGGCAAUCCUCUUCCUAUGCUGCAUCAAAACACAACCAAGUCCUACCCUAGAUGCAUCACAAUAAACCAAAAACCCCUCAUUACCUGCAGGAAAUGUCAAAACUAGAGCUGAAGUUAGCUUAUCCAUAAGCUUCUCAAAACUCCCUUCACACCCUCUCGACCAAGAAAAUUUUACUUUCUUCUGAGUUAACUUAGUCUAAGGAGCGGCUAUCAAAGGAAAGGUUUCCAUAAACCGCCUAUAACACCCAGCCCAAGAAGCUUUGAAUGUUAGUUGGAGUCGUGGGUCUAGGCACUACUAGAAAUUACCUCUAUGGCAACAAACUUUUUGGCGACGAUCAACAAAGUGUUGUUAUAGGUGGUCUAUUGCGACAGUUCCAAGUGUUGUCAUAAAUAACUAUUCUAUUAGCUAUAAGUUUACACUAUAACUGUUGCAUUUGAUAAUAAGCAUUGCAAUAGAUAAAUAAAAUAAGCUAUAGCAACGCUUAUUUUAUUCCCUCUAUUUUUUCACUAAAAAAUUUGUAAGUCCUCCUAAAAAACAUAAGACGUCUUCUGUCUCUUUCUUCUUGGAUUUUACUUCCCCCUCUCUCUCUUAGUUUCUCUAUUAGCUUACUGAAGCUUUAAAAAAUUAUUUUAUUAGGAUUAGGGAACCAAUUGAUUAGGGAAUCAACCGAUUGCUACAACAAUCAAUAAAUUAGGGAAUCAGCUUCUCUUCGCUACAAUUGCUAUAACGAUAAUCAAUCGAUUAUGGAAUUGGCUUCUCUUCGCUACAACCACUACAACAACAAUCAAUCAAUUAGGAGAAUCGACUUUUCUUCACUGCAAGUGCUACAGUGACAAUCAACCGAUUAGGAGAUUUGGGUUCUCUUCUCUACAAUUGAUACAAUUACUAUUUGGUAGUGAGCUUCAAUUUAGGCAUUUUAAGGUUAGUAUAUUGUUCUACGUCUUUGACCUAUUUUUUAGGGAUUUUGAGUUUUUCUUCUCCUUUGAGAACAUUUUAUUGCGGGGUUCAUUUGAUUGCGUGAAUAUUGAUAAAAACUGUAGUAAUAAUACAUCCAUGACUUGGUAAAUUUUGAAUACAAUGCAAUAAGCUAACAAUACAAUUCAAUAGGUAAUGGAUGUGGAAAUUAUUUCUUUCAUAUUUUUUGACUUAAUCUUUUCUAUAGUGGCACAAUUUGAAGGAUAUGCAUAUUCAGUAUAUGAUGAUUCUUUAGAUUUCUUCAGUAAUAGUUCUCAAGGUAUAAAAUUUGUAUUUAGGACACAUACACAGGGGACGAAAUAAGAAGAAAGUACUAGUAUUGUAUCCCAGGACCCAAGCUUCGCAGUAAAUUUUAUGAGAAUCUAUGAAGUAUGAACUCCCUUAGGUCUGUCAUUUUGAUCCCAUUACUUGUUUGAGAGGCAAAUUUAGGAUUUAAAUUUUAUGGGUUCAAACUUAUUAUAUUUUUAAAAUUUUGGAUUCGGGCAUACUAGUUGUUGCAGUUUUAGUUGAUUUUUACACAAAAAUUAAUACUCCAUGUCAUAACUACUAGAUUCAGACGAACUCAGUGCUUGCACACUCCAUCAGCCAUUCUGUUCGAACUUAGUAGACCAAAUAGAAUCAGCUUGAGAACCAUAUUUAGUAUGUACAUUGUGUAAGUAUUGCCUAUUGAUAUAUGAUUUGGCUUUUACUAUGGAAGCUUUCAUUUGUGACCCUUUUAUGGUUAGCAGCUCUGUUAGUGAUGGGAACA